rnacentral:tRNA from 1 species
UGGCUGAGUGGUAAAGCUCUUAACUACCAAACAGGGGAUCCCAGGUUCGAAUCCUGG